CACGUAGGCGGAUUAGUCAGUCAGGGGUGAAAUCCCGGGGCUCAACCCCGGAACUGCCUUUGAUACUGCUAGUCUUGAGUUCGAGAGAGGUGAGUGGAAUUCCGAGUGUAGAGGUGAAAUUCGUAGAUAUUCGGAGGAACACCAGUGGCGAAGGCGGCUCACUGGCUCGAUACUGACGCUGAGGUGCGAAAGUGUGGGGAGCAAACA
rnacentral:rRNA from 1 species